GAGAGUCAAAGAGACCGCAAAACCGUUGGGAGGGAAACGAAUGUGGCCAUGAAGGCUCCUUUCAGGUUCAGGGUGGCCUCGGUUCGGGGCUUGCGCUGUGUGGGGACCCGUAUUCGGGCCCGGCCAACGCAAGUUCCAUCGAGGUUCCUGCAUUCUCGUUUGGAGUCCACCAACGGCGGCCGUUCCCGGUGGAGAAGGGUCGUAGGGUCAGGUGCCUCUUCCUCGCCCUUUGCGGGGCUGUGGAGGAGAGCUUACAGCCUUCGGCUUGGAGACCGGGGGCGGCCGGGGAAUGUUGCGACAUUUCGCACGGCGUAGUGCAGGCUCCGUGGGGGCCGGGUCGCUUCUGGAGUUGCGUGCUUCGCGGCGAACCACUGCUUGCAGUGGCCGCUGACGGUAAGUGUGCUUGUCUGGGAGGCGGACCACGAUGUUGCGCUUAAGUCGUUGGUGGGGGUAUGGGUCC
rnacentral:rRNA from 1 species